rnacentral:rRNA from 1 species
CAGUCGCCGCGGGAAUACGAAGGGUGCAAGCGUUACUCGGAAUUACUGGGCGUAAGGCGUAUGUAGGUGGUUGUUUAAGUCUGUCGUGAAAGCCCUGGGCUCAGCCUGGGAAUUGCGAUGGAUACUGGGCGACUAGAGUGCGGUAGAGGAUAGUGGAAUUUCCGGUGUAGCAGUGAAAUGCGUAGAGAUCGGAAGGAACAUCUGUGGCGAAGGCGACUAUCUGGGCCAACACUGACACUGAGACACGAAAGCGUGGGGAGCAAACAGGAUUAGAUACCCGCGUAGUCCCUGUCUCUUAUAC